rnacentral:sRNA from 1 species
AUACACUGCAUCACACUUUUUAUAGGAGAGGGGCUAUAGAAGCCUCCCCUACCCUUGGAGGUGACGUAGUAUUGUAAGAAAAUAGUGGGGGCAGAGCUUCGCCUGGCCAAAUAUAUAUGUGUUCUAAUUGUGCUUUACACAAAUUAAUUAUAUUGUUUGAAGGUAUCAAAGAUGAAUAUUUAUGAAAUUAUACAUUAAUGAAACACUUUCAUAUGCCUUUCCCGUCCCCACACUGAACACAGAUACACUCACUUUCCAAGCUAAAGUACUGGAAUCAUGGCAAUUUCUUCCAAUCAGUGCCAGCUCCAUAAUUGAGGAGUUUUCACUUCCGUUAUUUCAUUUGAGCGUAGUGAUGAUGUGGAUGUUGCCCUCUUACAAAAAAAAAAAAAAAAUCAAUAAACUGAGGCCCAGAGCAACAUGCCAUGGUUAAGAACCAAAUCAGUGGUAGAGCUGAGUCAGAACCGAUAAACUGUGACGACUACGCUCCUGCUUGUGAAGAUCUCUGCCAAUGCAAGAAAAUAAGGGAGAAUCCAGUUUAAGUCAAUUGGUAUACAACAUAGUUAUUACCAAGACUCUGGAGUCAGGCAGGCCUGAGUUCAAAUUCUGGCUCUGUCACUGGUCAGCACUACUUCAGGGCAAGUAAUAUAUCCCUCCAAACCUUAAUUUAUAUGUUGUUUGUAUAAUGGGAAUAGUGAUCCCUCACUCAUAGGGAUGUUGUGAGCUUUAAAUAAGAAUGUGCAUCUGGCAAUGAUUAAAUUAACUAUUAACAUUAGAUUUGAAUCAUCUGCGUUCAUUGCUGUGAUAAUGGAAAUAUGGAUAAUUAACAAGAGACUAAUUCCCCUACAGGCCUGUUCACAAAAACCAAUAUGGUAUGGAGAAGAGAAAAAUGGUACAUUAUGGUGCCAAAUGCUACAGCCAAAAUUCUACCACCCAUAUCCCACAGUUUAAGAAGUAAAUAGACUUGGCUGAGAGGGAAAGAAAAAAAUCAAGGCACCAGAAUUCUAAGCAUGGAAUAUUGACAAGCAGAGUCUCUUGUUUUCACUCACAAACCCUUAAAAUUCAGUUUGCCCCCAUUAUUUGUUUAACUUCUAUUAAUUUUAUCCAAAUGCAAAUCUGCUUGCUUUCUAAAGCCUGAAAGAGAAAUCACAUAGAUCAAGUACUUAGAUUGUUGGUAAACUGCUAUUUGCAAAUAUGCAUGUGCACAUGGGCAUGGCUUUGGCAUGGUGGGAGGAAGGGCAGGGGCACUAGAGUAUAACAAAAUGUUUUAGAACAAGUUUUGAUGUGUUUGCCAUUCUGAUUUAUUAAAUUUAAGGCAUGUGAAAUAUGAGACAAGGUGUGUCUCAUGUAUGUAUUUGAAGCCUGCAUUGACAUUAUUCAUUUCCUGUGUUUAAGGAGCUGGAAUAUCAGAAGUCUCAGCCCCCACAGCCCGGAGAUAAGUUUGUGUCUGUUGUCAGCCAGUUCAUCACAGUAGCCAGCUUCAGCUUCUCUGAUGUUGAAGACCUUCUAGCAGAAGCUAAAGACCUGUUUACUAAAGCAGUGAAGCACUUUGGGGAAGAGGCUGGCAAAAUACAACCAGAUGAGUUCUUUGGCAUUUUUGAUCAAUUUCUUCAAGCUGUGUCAGAAGCCAAACAAGAAAACGAAAAUAUGAGAAAGAAAAAGGAGGAAGAAGAACGUCGAGCUCGCAUGGAAGCUCAGCUCAAAGAACAACGUGAAAGGGAACGUAAAAUGAGAAAAGCUAAAGAGAAUAGUGAAGAGAGCGGAGAGUUUGAUGACCUUGUUUCAGCUUUACGCUCAGGAGAAGUGUUUGACAAAGACCUUUCUAAAUUGAAACGGAAUCGCAAACGUAUUACCAACCAGAUGACUGACAGCAGCAGAGAGAGACCAAUCACAAAACUUAAUUUCUAAUUUUCCAUGAAUACUUUUUUUUAGAAAGCUCAUUAGCAGCCCUCUAAAGUGACUAGAACGUUUCAUUACACUGCCUUGCAAUCCAAACAGUGGCAAUUUUUUCCUUCAUCUGUGAGUGAAUGCGUGAAUGUGUGUAUGUAAAUGUAUGUGUGUAUAUAUUAAAAAAUGUAUAUAGAUGUCUGAGUGUUGUCUGGAGACCUAUAUGUAUGGUUAAGAAGAUUUAUGUUAACGUAUGUGCUCCAAAACCUUUCGUGUAUGCAUUCACAUUGAGUGUGGCUCAUUUUCUUUCCCCGAACGCCAUGACUGUUCAGAAGCACAAUACUAUCUCCUGAAAGAGAUGACAGAGACAUUCCCUAGAUUCAAAGGCAAAACAGAAGAAACAAACAAACAAACAAAAAAGCUUGCAAAAUAUUUUAUGGUUUCCAAGCUUGAUAUCCUUUAAAAUUAUUUUCAUUGAUGGAACUGGAGUUGGAAAAACAUAGAUUUAAAAUGGUUUUUGAUAGCUGACAUUGUGAUGUUGAUGUAUCACAUCAGUAAUAGGACCAGCUUCGAAUUUCUGACAUUGGUGUGGGGAUACAGUCUGUAAAUGUUUAUUGAGAACAUCUUGCACACAAUUUGAAUUAUGUAGAAUGUCAAUCAAUUUUUUGUAUAUUUAAAAGUUGGACAUCAAUUUUUUCCCCUGAUUUCAUCAAGUUAUCUCUGCCAAGUGCUCUUGAUAAUUUCUUCAGAUUUUUGGAAAAAAACACUAUAUAAAUGCAAUCCAUGCUUUUUUUAAAGAACAACAUUGCCAGAGUAUGCUUGUUCUAACAAUAUAGAUAUAUAAACCUUAAAAAUAAUAAAAUAUCUCACCCAAGACUUAAAGGAAGAAUUCUCUGAAGGGAUAAAGAUUACU